rnacentral:rRNA from 1 species
UACAGAGGUCUCAACCGUUGUUCGGAUUCAUUGGGCGUAAAGGGUGCGUAGGCGGCGGGGUAAGUCAGGUGUGAAAUCUCGGGGCUCAACCCCGGAACUGCACUUGAUACUGCCUCGCUUGAGUACUGGAGAGGAGACUGGAAUUUACGGUGUAGCAGUGAAAUGCGUAGAUAUCGUAAGGAAGACCAGUGGCGAAGGCGAGUCUCUGGACAGUUACUGACGCUGAGGCACGAAGGCCAGGGGAGCAAACGGGG